ACACACUCUAUGCGGUGGAUCAUCGGCUCGUGCGU
rnacentral:rRNA from 1 species